CCUACGGGUGGCAGCAGUGAGGAAUAUUGGUCAAUGGACGAGAGUCUGAACCAGCCAAGUAGCGUGAAGGAUGACUGCCCUAUGGGUUGUAAACUUCUUUUAUAUGGGAAUAAAAUGUUCCACGUGUGGGAUUUUGUAUGUACCAUAUGAAUAAGGAUCGGCUAACUCCGUGCCAGCAGCCGCGGUAAUACGGAGGAUCCGAGCGUUAUCCGGAUUUAUUGGGGUUAAAGGUAGCGUAGGUGGAGUGGUAAGUUAGUUGUGAAAGUUUGCGGCUCAACCGUAAAAUUGCAGUUGAAACUGGCAGUCUUGAGUACAGAAGAGGUGGGCGGAAUUCGUGGUGGAGCGGUGAAAUGCUUAGAUAUCACGAAGAACUCCGAUUGCGAAGGCAGUUCACUGGACUGCAACUGACACUGAGGCUCGAAAGUGUGGGUAUCAAACAGGAUUAGAUACCCGGGUAGUC
rnacentral:rRNA from 1 species